rnacentral:rRNA from 1 species
AGGAUAAACGCUGGCGGCGUGCCUAACACAUGCAAGUCGAACGCGCUUACUAUCCGCGAGGAGGGUGAGCGAGUGGCGGACGGGUGAGGAACACGUGGGUGACCUACCUUUCAGUGAGGGAUACCGGCGAGAAAUUGCCGACAAGACCGCAUACGCUUCUCUUUUCAAGGGGAGAAGGAAAGCUUUUCGCAAGAGAGGCGCUGGGAGAUGGGCCUGCGGCCGAUUAGCUAGCUGGUGGGGUAAUGGCCUACCAGGGCGACGAUCGGUAGCUGGUCUGAGAGGACGAUCAGCCACACUGGGAUUGAGAACGGCCCAGACUCCUACGGGGGGCAGCAGUGAGGAAUUUUCGGCAAUGGGGGCAACCCUGACCGAGCAACGCCGCGUGCAGGACGACGGCCUUCGGGUUGUAAACUGCUUUUCUCUGGGACGAGCAAGGACGGUACCAGAGGAAGAAGCCCGGCUAACUACGCGCCAGCAGCCGC